CAAAAGUCGAGAAUAUGGCGCCGAGUCCAGGCGAUAUUAUCGGAUGCCCUAACCCGGACGCCGUUUGAGUGCGCACCGACUGUAUUUCUAACCCCACCCUAGCCCUGAUGGAGCACUCGUGGCGAUAUCAACCUCUAGCUCUACACUUAGUGCCAUGGCCUGAUCUGCCUAUACGGGUUAAGUGAGGUAAUAGAGCACUAAAAAUGGAACCUAAGACAACGGCGUUGCAAGCUACUGUGAUAAUGGUGUCAAAAGGCGUAUAGAAUUUGUGGUGAGGUCAUUGGGUGUGUUGUAAUGAGCUGAUUGUGUGACUUUGCUGAGGGGUUUCGCUGUACAGUAGGUGGUUUAGUAAGCAUGUACAGUAGACUCACACUCUUUA
rnacentral:misc_RNA from 1 species